GCACAAACCUGGCUCUGAUACCACAUAAUACGAACUCCCUAGGAUGAAACUCUGAUGGAGGCUGAUGACAGGUAAGUGGCGACGUGAAUUGAUGGUGAUGAUGCACAGGUGGAUUGC
rnacentral:pre_miRNA from 1 species